rnacentral:misc_RNA from 1 species
UCCCCCCACACCCAUGCACACACACACAAUAUAUAUAUAGUUAACUAAUGAUAAAUAAAUAAAUAAAUAAAGUAAAAAUAAAAAGACAAGAACCCAAAAGGUUUAUAAAAAUGAGGGGGAAAAAUCCUUCAAAAUUUUCACCAUCUCCCACCAAAAAGCAUGGAAGGAGUGCUUACAUCUUGGGAAUUGGCUGAUCUCCUCCCCCUCUUCAAAGCUGAUAUGCGAACAGUACAUUCAGCAGCUUGAUCUAUGCCCUGACCGGUCCUAAUGUUGCACCAUUUAGCAGAGGUAAGGGGGUCCCAACUCCCAAGGAGAUGAGAUAGGAAUGAAAUAUUGAAAAAUAAUUAUUUACUUUAUUUAGAAUCAAUACAUUAUUUUUUUAUUUUAAUUUUGACCAUGGACAAAAUUGCAAUAAAAGUUUAAAAUCAGGACAAAGUUGCUAAAAAUUAAAAGGAUUAGACAAAAUCACAAAAACAUAUGAAGGCUCGGAUAGGCCCAUAAACUUGAGAGCCAAAUUAGCUAUAAUUUUCAGGGAUUUUCUUAAAACUACCAGUAGUUCUUUCAUAUUACGUGAAUCAAAUCCAACAACUGUUUGUGCUCAUCUAGAUAUAAUAAAAAAAAAGUGCCAUAAGAGGAAGAGGGCAUGAACCUACAAAGCAAAAAUAAAUAAAUAAGUAAAUAAAUACAUGGCAAUCCUAGAAGAGUCAAAUACUUGGCAUAGUUAUUAAAGGCGCGCCUC